rnacentral:misc_RNA from 1 species
AAAGCCUGAACCGGGCAACUGGGUUUCUUGGAUUUUACCUUGUUUAUAAAGUGCCUGGGAACUGGGACUUUCUUUUGAUCUCUCAUUUGUUUUCUCUUCAUUAUUUGAGGAAGCAGAGCAUUACCCAUUUCUUCUCUUCUUCUCUUUCGCUUUAAUCAUUGAGUUUUCCCCCCACUGGUUUUAGCAUAAAAUCAGAGCGUUCUUAGAAACUUAUACUUGGCUCUUUCCAGAAAACUUCGUUUGUAGGAUUCUUUCUAUCUCCAACAUUCACAUUCUAUUACGAGCGAAACCCAGAAGACAUCGAUUGAUAGUUUAAUAAAGAGGAAUCGAAAUCGACAAUUAUUGCCAUAAAAAUUUGGAAAGCUUUAUGAAUUUGUGAAACAAUG